GGCGAGAUGGCCGAGCGGUCUAAGGCGCCAGACUAAGGACCAGGAUAUACAGAUAUCCUCCUUUCCUCCUCAGGGGAAUCUGGUCCUCCGGGGCGUGGGUUCGAAUCCCACUCUCGUCA